AAGAAUUUAGUUAAAGUUAUAACAUUAGUUUGUCAUACUGAAAUUAUUAAAUUUAUUAAUAUUUCUUA
rnacentral:tRNA from 1 species